UACAGAGGUGGCAAGCGUUGUUCGGAAUUACUGGGCGUAAAGGGCGCGUAGGCGGCCUUCUAAGUCAGACGUGAAAUCCCCCGGCUUAACCUGGGAACUGCGUCUGAUACUGGGAGGCUUGAGUAUGGGAGAGGGAUGUAGAAUUCCAGGUGUAGCGGUGAAAUGCGUAGAUAUCUGGAGGAAUACCGGUGGCGAAGGCGGCAUCCUGGACCAUUACUGACGCUGAGGCGCGAAAGCGUGGGUAGCAAACAGG
rnacentral:rRNA from 1 species